AGUUAUCAGAACCUUCGGGGGACGAUAACGGCGUCGAGCGGCGGACGGGUGAGUAAUGCCUAGGAAAUUGCCCUGAUGUGGGGGAUAACCAUUGGAAACGAUGGCUAAUACCGCAUGAUGCCUACGGGCCAAAGAGGGGGACCUUCGGGCCUCUCGCGUCAGGAUAUGCCUAGGUGGGAUUAGCUAGUUGGUGAGGUAAGGGCUCACCAAGGCGACGAUCCCUAGCUGGUCUGAGAGGGCGAUCAGCCACACUGGAACUGAGACACGGUCCAGACUCCUACGGGAGGCAGCAGUGGGGAAUAUUGCACAAUGGGCGCAAGCCUGAUGCAGCCAUGCCGCGUGUGUGAAGAAGGCCUUCGGGUUGUAAAGCACUUUCAGUCGUGAGGAAGGUAGUGUAGUUAAUAGCUGCAUUAUUUGACGUUAGCGACAGAAGAAGCACCGGCUAACUCCGUGCCAGCAGCCGCGGUAAUACGGAGGGUGCGAGCGUUAAUCGGAAUUACUGGGCGUAAAGCGCAUGCAGGUGGUUUGUUAAGUCAGAUGUGAAAGCCCGGGGCUCAACCUCGGAAUUGCAUUUGAAACUGGCAGACUAGAGUACUGUAGAGGGGGGUAGAAUUUCAGGUGUAGCGGUGAAAUGCGUAGAGAUCUGAAGGAAUACCGGUGGCGAAGGCGGCCCCCUGGACAGAUACUGACACUCAGAUGCGAAAGCGUGGGGAGCAAACAGGAUUAGAUACCCUGGUAGUCCACGCCGUAAACGAUGUCUACUUGGAGGUUGUGGCCUUGAGCCGUGGCUUUCGGAGCUAACGCGUUAAGUAGACCGCCUGGGGAGUACGGUCGCAAGAUUAAAACUCAAAUGAAUUGACGGGGGCCCGCACAAGCGGUGGAGCAUGUGGUUUAAUUCGAUGCAACGCGAAGAACCUUACCUACUCUUGACAUCCAGAGAACUUUCCAGAGAUGGAUUGGUGCCUUCGGGAACUCUGAGACAGGUGCUGCAUGGCUGUCGUCAGCUCGUGUUGUGAAAUGUUGGGUUAAGUCCCGCAACGAGCGCAACCCUUAUCCUUGUUUGCCAGCGAGUAAUGUCGGGAACUCCAGGGAGACUGCCGGUGAUAAACCGGAGGAAGGUGGGGACGACGUCAAGUCAUCAUGGCCCUUACGAGUAGGGCUACACACGUGCUACAAUGGCGCAUACAGAGGGCAGCCAACUUGCGAAAGUGAGCGAAUCCCAAAAAGUGCGUCGUAGUCCGGAUUGGAGUCUGCAACUCGACUCCAUGAAGUCGGAAUCGCUAGUAAUCGUGGAUCAGAAUGCCACGGUGAAUACGUUCCCGGGCCUUGUACACACCGCCCGUCACACCAUGGGAGUGGGCUGCAAAAGAAGUAGGUAGUUUAACCUUC
rnacentral:rRNA from 1 species